GACGGAGGAUGCAAGUGUUAUCCGGAAUCACUGGGCGUAAAGCGUCUGUAGGUGGUUCGAAAAAGUCCACUGUUAAAAAAUUGAGGCUUAACCUCAAAGAUGCCGUGGAAAACUUUCAAACUAGAGUAUGGUAGGGGUAGAGGGAAUUUCCGGUGGAGCGGUGAAAAUGCAUUAGAUCGGAAAGAAACACCAACGGCGAAAAGCACUCUGCUGGGCCGACACUGACACUGAGAGACGAAAGCUAGGGGGAGCAAAUGG
rnacentral:rRNA from 1 species